rnacentral:sRNA from 1 species
GCCAGGCGCAGUAGGGCACACCUGUAAUUCCAGCAGCUUGGGAGGCUGAGGCAGGAGGAUCACGAGUUCAAAGCUAGUCUCAGCAACUUAGUGAGACCCCGUCUCUA